CUCAAGAAGAGGAAUAUACAAGAGAGGGGAGUUCGUAUGGACUUGAACAGGAUAGUUCAUGCCAAGUCAAAAGAAGAAGAAAGGAUUAGCAAGUGACUUUGAUAAUACACGUGAACUAUGAACCUUAACGACAUAUUUUUUUUUUUUAUGACAAGGGAAACCCGCAGCCGCUACCCUUUGGGUGCGCACAGGGUGAAACCCCCACUCCUAUGCAAUAGCUUGCAAACCACAUAGGAGAGGUAACCCGCACUAGGCAAGCCCGGUGCGACGAGCUCGACCCAGAAGGCAAACCCCUUGCUUUCGCUGGCAAGGGGUUUCGAACUUGAGACCUCCAACAUGGAAGUCCCAAGCCCAAACCACUGGGCCAUCCCGAAGGGUACCUUAACGACAUAUUCAACACCAAUAAAGAUAACACACAGGAACUCGAUGAUCUCUAACAAAUUACUCCCUAACAAAAUACACUUCUUAUUUUCACGAUGAUCAAACAAGCAACAAAUCAGUUAACCACAGAGCUAAUUUUCUAUCAAUCACAACUCAACCUUACAAUAAAAAGAUUAGCGACAAUGAUUUACUUUGAACAAAAGCUAAAAAAAAAAAAAGGAUUUCUGGAAAAUUAUGAAGAGAAUUUGGACAUUGAUUUAACAGCCAGAUAACAACAUAACAACAUUCAGUAAAAUAGUGAUCCCAAAGAAAAAUCUCAGGUCUAAAUAAAUGUCUUAGGAAAUCAUAUAUAACUCUCAGCAGCAAGUAGGAGAAAGCUAUUACAACAAAAUAUUACAAAUCACGAAGAAAACAAAGAAGAAUGACAUUACUACUGGAUAAAACAGUAAAACAACUAACGACAAUAGGCAAUCAAGUAUAGCAGCAACUAAACGGAGGCUUUCUAAUUAACCCAUCUGCUCGCAAAUAACCUCCUACUAAAUGUAAUCUUUAAUCAAACCAAAAAGGAAUUAGACAAUUUGUGUUGAAGCUAUGUACAUGAUGGAAGCAACAGUAAAGAUGAAGGAGAAGAGUUGUCAAUAUGGGCUAGCCCACCCCAUUCGGGCUAACCUAUACAUGCUUUGCAAUUUGAUGGGCCAGAUCGGGCU
rnacentral:lncRNA from 1 species